GUGAACCUUCUGAUGACGACAUCGAACUUUAGAAAGAAGAGCAAUGACAUAGCAAGACAUUACUGAUGAUUACAGUAGCUAAUUAUUAAAUGACAUCGGUGAGCAUAUUUAAAGUUGGAAUUUAUUAGUGUCCAACGUGUUUUUGUAAAAGGUCAGUUUAUUUAUUUGUCUAUUUCUUAAUGGCUUUUAAGAUAUUUUGAAUGCUCACAGCUCUCAUACUGAUUCCAGUGUUUAAUUUCUAUUUGAUGCGUUUGUACUAUAUACAUGUACUAUGGAAAUUAGGUAGUAGGAAUAUGUUGUCUUUGAGAUAAAGUAAACAUAUGUUCUGUAUAUAUAGUUUGUAUCUAAGAGUAUAUCUGUGGAAAAUACAAAAUGUUUGUUUGCAUCUUUUGUUAAAUCCGACGGAAAUAUUCAAUAGGUUUUUAUUGCAUAGAAUAUUCCAUUUGUAUUUUCGACACAUUCAACGCAUCAUCUAAAUGAGCAUCACUUAUCCGUGAUAGGAAAAUAAAAUACAGUAGUAGGCGAACAAUGUGUAUAUAUAUAUAUAUAAACCAGGACAAUGUCAUAACAGUUUUGCGGAUUAUUUGUUAUAUGUUAUUCUGUUUUAAACAUUGAAGAAAUAAAAUAUACCCAUGCAUCCACCCUCUAAUUUUUGAAAGACAUCGGUGAACAUAUUUAAACUUUAAUAUAACUGCCCAUCUUUUUUUUUUAGGAAAAGGUAUGUGUUUAUUCAUUUAUCUAUUAGCUUAUAUUGAUAAAUAAAAAGCUUGUAUUAGAAUUUUACAAUAAAUUUGUAGGUAUUGAUUUUUUUAUUUAUUUCUUUUAGGUCAAUGAUGUUAAUGAAGAUAACACCUCCUGAGCUGGUCAUGGUGUUGUAAGUGUUUAUUAAACAGUAUGUGUAAUGAUAAUAUGAGUAAAGGUAGGCGUCAAAAAAAAAUAAAAACACAUCUUUUAAUAAAAAAGGUGUUUCUCAUUGCCACCUAUAUUUUUUGUUAUAUAAUUCAGAUAGAAAGUUCUAUAAACAAAAAAUAUAAAAAAUAAAUGAAAAAAAUAUUUUGAAGGCAUUUUAUUCUUUGCUUCAAGAAAACAGUAUCAAUAAACUCGUCAUAGAUACCAGAACUAAAAUUUUGUAUAUACGCCAGACGCUCAUUUCGUCUACAAAAGACUCAUCAGUGACGCUCGAAUCAAAAAGUUGAAAAGGUCCAAAUAAAGUACGAAGUUAAAGAGCAUUGAGGACCAAAAUUCCUAGCAAGGUAAUCUAUGCCUGAGGUAGAAAAGCCUUAGUAUUUCAAAAAUUCAAAAUUUUGUAAACAGUUAAUUUAUAAAAAUAACCAUAUCAAUGAUAUAAUUCAUGUCAGCACAAAAGUGCUGACUACUGGGCUGAUGAUACCCUAGGGGAAAUAAAUCUCCACCAGCAGUGGCAUCUAACCGGUGGUUGUAAAUAAACUCAUCAUAGAUACCAGGACUUAAUUUUGUAUAUACGCCAGACGAGCGUUUCGUUUACAGUUCUGUCAAUUCAUUAGACUCGGAUUUAACAAGGCUGUAUUUGUUUAAUAAAUUCGUUUUCAUGAAGUUCCCUCCUUUUUUAUAAUAUAAACAAGUAUUUGUUUGUCCUUAUAUUAGAUGAAUUGUUGAGAUUAAAGAAUAUAUAUGACUCAUAUUUAUUUUAAAAAUAUGUGCACUUUUAAAAAUAGACCACAAAAAACAACUAAAUUUAAAAAAAACUAAUGACCAAUUAAACAAAGAUACUGCUACAGACAAAAAAUACUUCAUUUAAUGUAUAAUGAUACACUAAUGAUUUAUCAAUAAGCCAGUAGAUAAUGUUAGUAUGGUAAUUAGACAUGAACAGCAAUCCAACAAAUAUUAAGCACUCAGCAAUUCAACAAAUAUAUAGCUCUCAGCAAGUGAAAACAAAGUCAAAGACCAAGUUUUAAAUCUGUUAUAACAAGAAAAUGUGGGCUUUUAGAUUUUGUUUUUUUUUUACAUAUGCUAUAAAUCUUGAGAUAAAAUAUUAUAAUUUCUGUUUUAGAUUUAAUACCAGCCGCUGUACAAAACGCACACGAAUUAAGAAAAUAUGAUGAUGCUAUUUGAUUUUUCAAUUAUUUGUAAAAGAGGCACGAAAGAUACCAAAGGGACAGUCAAACUCAUAAAUCUAAAACAAACUGACAACGCCAUGGCUAAAAAUGAGAAAGACAAACAAAAAAACAGCACACAUGACACAAUAUAGAAAACUAAAGAAUAAACAACACGAACCCCACCAAAAAACUAGGGGUGAUUUCAGGUGCUCCGUAAGGGUAAGCAGAUCCUGCUCCACAUGUGGCACCCGUCGUGUUGCUUACGUGAUAACAAAUCCGGUAAAUAGUCUAAUUCGUAGGUCACAUUCAUGAAAGGGAAGGGGAUUGUAGUUACGACUUAAGGAACAUAUCCGAUAUCAUUUGUGAAACGGUUAUUCAAUAACGAUCAACCAACUCGUGAUGGCGUCCGUAAAAUUUACGAAGGGAUGAUUUCAACUUCAUCAUUUGGAACUCUUGGUUUAAUAGCUUCCUUGUGAUAUGCUUUAUAUCUUUAUAUAUAUGUAUUUUUGUCAAUACAUGUAUCAAAUAUUUACUAUAUUAAAAGCAAGUCCAUGAGUGCAAAAACACAUUUAAAGGUGUCCAAUUUUCAAUUAUUCUGUCACAUGUGUGAUUUAUGUCUGAUCAAUGUGAAUGGGCAAUUGGUGUUUAACGCCACUUUCAGCAUUAUGUACUAUUUCGUAGUAGUCGGUUUUUAUUGGUUGAGUGAGAAAAUAAUGCUUGUAGAAAACCAAGAUCCAAGAUAGUAAAACUGACAAACUAAGUCAAUUAUAAAAUAUUGUAGUCAAACUGAAAGGCUAAGUGUGUGCUUCGAAAUUCAUAACCUUUGUGUUGACAGGAUAGUGAUAAGGAAGUUAUUUACUUAAGACCAUUCAUCCACUGAAACCAAUUUCAAUGAAACAGUAUCACAGAAAAACAUGCAGUCUUUAUCUAUAGCACAAGUUAAAUGUAAAAUUGCCGAGUUUCCAUGUCCUUACUUUAGUUUACCUCAACAAAUGUUAUAAAAACGAAUAGGUACAAGAUGCUUAUUACUUCAAAACACAGAACAAGUUUAAAAUUGGGUGGCAUCACUUUACCGUUCAUGACUUAUGUUCCUUUAUAAAUGGAGCAAUUACUUAAUCUGUUGGUUUAAUUCUCUUCCUCUUGUUUGCUUCAACUAAAUGUUUUGAAAUUUAUACACAAUGCUUAUAAUUACAAAUGGGCUUUAAUGAAAUUAAUCCUGCAUCUGUAUGCGGAAAUUGACUGGUGAAUAUUGUUACAGGCAGGGUAUUUGCGGCCCCAAAACACAAUCUCAAUUUAAUUAAACCAUGUUAAUUUACAAGCAUAGUAUAGAAAAACCUCCUGUCUGAAAAAUGCCUUCAAUAUAUUUUUUAAAUCAACUUUGAAUUAAUUUGAACAAUUAACUGAAUUGAAGAAAGCGAGGUGUUAUAUUUUCUUUACAAAUAUAAUGUAAACUAAUCCCCUAUUUGAAAAAAAACCUAUUCUCAAUGCUCAAUUUCUUUCAUUUUUUCCCCAUUUCCAUUUCAAUAAGGAGGUAGUGUUAUAAAAUAAAAAAAAAUAAUCUGAUUAAUCGUGUCAAAAACUAAAUAAAUUUGUUUGUGCUUUGCACCUACAAUACGUUUUACUAAGAAAAAAAACCAAGAAUGUAUAUGCCCUACUUACGAUUUUAUGGGGGUAUUAAGUUUUCUGGUCUGUUUGUCCGUUUAUAAGAUUGUCCGGCUGUCCCUUUUAGUUUCAAGUUUUUGUUCAAGGUAGUUUUUGAUGAAAUUGAAGUCCAAUCAAUUUGAAAUAUACAUGUAGUUCACAUGUUUCCUAUGAUAUGAUCUUUCUAAUUUUAAUGCCAAACUAGAUGUUUAAACCACAUUUCACGGUCCACUGAACAUACAUGUAGAAAAUAAUAGUGUGAGUGAGGCAUAUAUGUACUAAGGACACAUUCUUGUUAGAUUUGUAUUGUUUAGUUGCUUCAUUACUGAUAUGUUAUAUCAUUUAACCCAUCAUUGAUUAUUUUUUCUAUAUUUUUAUAUGGUUAUUGCCUGUCCUUUUUGUGACCUGUAUAUGAGAACACACAGUCAUGCACAUAAAAAACCUCAUAUACAUUUUUGAAAGUCAUUUGAUACAUAUAAAAUUGAGAAUAGAAAUGGGGAAUGUGCAGAAAGAACAACCCACAUUAGAGCAGACAACAGCAGAAGGUCACCAACAGGUCUUCAAUGCAACGAGAAAUUCUCGCACCCGGAGGCGUCCUUCAGCUGGCCCCUAACAAUAUAUGUAUAUGUAUUAUUUCAAUUGAGUUUUUUUAUUUAUUUUUGAAGUAAAAUUGAGAAUUAUCCUUGCCUAGUUGACCAGGCUCUACUGAUAUGAUAGAUAUGCUGAUAUCUAACUUGGAGAUCUUGGGUACGUUGGAAAAUGUAUCAGGUAGGUGGUUAUUCAUACAUAUUAUGAAACAAAUAUGUUAUAGGGAAAACAUUGAAAUUAGCCAUAUGUUGUUGAGACAGCAACCAAACAACAUUGUCAUAUAAUUAAAAUCAAAAACAAUUUGAUAGUAAUAUUUAAAUAAAUAAUUUUAAAUGGCUUUAACAAUUACUAAGUAGAUGUAUUCAUGUCUGCUGUUGAAUUAUGCUAAAAGUAUUGACUAGUUCAUUUGACUGAGAAAAAAGCCUGAUCAAUAUUUCAGGUUUUACAAAACAGACUAGACAAAUUGCCAGAUAGCAAUUAUGGAAAAGAGGGACGAAAGAUACCAAAGGGACAGUCAAACUCAUAAAUCUAAAACAAACUGACAACGCCAUGGCUAAAAAUGAAAAAGACAAACAGAAACAAAUAGUACACAUGACACAAACAUAGAAAACUAAAAGAAUAAACAACACGAACCCACAAAACUAGGGGUGAUCUCAGGUGCUCCGGAAGGUAAGCAGAUCCUGCUCCUCACAUGUGGCACCCGUUGUUGCUUAUGUGAUUACAAAUCCGGUAAAUAGUCUAAUUCGCUAGGUCACAUUCAUGAAAGGGAAGGGGAUUGUAGUUACGACGUCAACCAACUCGUGAUGGCGUCCGUAAAAUUUACGAAGGGAUGAUUUCAACUUCACCAUUUGGAACUCUUGGUUUAAUAGCUUCCUUGUGAGCAGUAACCCUCUAUCAAGAAAAUCAUGAUAGAUAACGCAAGCACGGGAAUAUCGUAUCAAUUGGGAGAUAUAUAUACCCCGUAUGCAGGUGCUGCUGGAAUGUUGCUACUUUAAAAAUGGAAAGUUCACAAUUGGAAAGCUGAAAUCAUCUCUUUUGUCGUAAAAGUUUUGUUUUCAACCGACCCUUCAUUGUCAAUUUUCUAGAUGUAGUCAAGAUAUGAAGCCGACUUAACUGUAUCUGUAGUAUCCUUUAUCUCCAAUUCGAUGGGAUAGAUGCGUUCCACAUAGUCACCAAAUUUUGAAUUGUUUAGUGAAAGAACGUCAUCUAUAUAGCGGAAAGUAGAGUUAAAGGAUAUUGUUAACUUCUUAUCUUUCUUCCUAAGAAGUUCCUGUAUGAAGUCAGCCUCAUAAUAAUAAAAGAAACAAGUCGGCAAGUAGAGGGGCACAGUUUGUUCCCAUUGGGAUGCCGACAGUCUGUUGAAAACACGUCCUCCGAACAGUCACAGUUGAAAAAAACAUAAAAUCUAUGAAAACAGCUAAUAACUACUCAUAAUUUUUUUUAAUCCAUUUGCUAUUUGUUGUCUUGAUUUUAAACUACCAGUAAGCUUUAAAUAUUUAAAUAUAGAAACAAUCGAACUGCACAAACUAAUUUCAACAUUUUUAUUUUUGGUAUUUUGUGUUUUUUUUUCAGAUGUAAAACAUGUAGAAGUAGAAGAAACAACAGUGAAAAAAGAAUGAGAC
rnacentral:lncRNA from 1 species